rnacentral:lncRNA from 10 species
UUUCUUUCAAAGCCAAGUGCCUUGCCCCCAGGAUCUCCAGCUUUUUACCAUUGCACAGUGAAUCUCUCUACUGUUACAUCCUCACAUCUUGUUUUCACAGUUUCAGAGUUGAAGAUGAUCGCAGGUCAGUGUUCCACAAGGACCCUCCUUGUUCAGAUAGAGGACCCCCAACAGGCCCUAUACGUGCCAGGGUUUAGGCUAAAGGGUUUACAUCUAUUAACUACUGUAUAACUGAAAACAUGAUACAAAGUAGGUAUUUCGGAUUAUCAUCUUUGUAUUGGGAAAACUGAGGCAGGGAGAGUUUAAGCAAUAGAUCUAAGGUCCCCUUGCUGGUUGGGCAAAGUGGCUCACCCCUGUAAUCUAGGAGUUUGGGAGGCUGAGACAAGAGGAUCCCUUGAGCCUAGAUGCUCCAGACCAGCCUGGGCAACAUCGUGAAACCCCAACUCUCCAAAUACGUAUAAAAUUAGCUGGGUGUGGACCAAUAGUCUCAGCUACUCAAGAAACUGAAUUGAGAGGAUGGCUUGAGCCUGGGAGGUUGAGGUUGAAGUGGGCUGUGAUUGUGCCAGUUCACUACAGCCUGGGUGAUUCAAUUAGACCCUGUCUAAAAAAAAGGUUCAAAACAUGUUAACAUCUCACUGCUAGUAGUCAG